rfam:Listeria monocytogenes EGD-e, complete genome
AUAAGUAUAUUUUAACGAUAUUAUCUAUCUAAAUUUACCACGAAUCUAGCCUAAAUUCAAUUAAAAACAAAUAGAAAAGCAAAAUUUCUCAUGACAAGA